AAAAAAUAUGUACAAAAAAUAUGUACAAAAAAUAUGUACAAAAAAUAUGUACAAAAAAUAUGUACAAAAAUAUAUAUACAAAAAUAUAUAUACAAACCUUUAAACGCAUAUUCCGCUGUAUCUAUAAACUAAACAUUACGAUUUCUUUUAACACGUCUUAUUUAUCACAUCAUGUUAUGCUAUACCAUGUUGCAUUUUUUUUUUUUUUUUUUCUUUUUUUUAAGAUGACGAAGCUUUAAUAUUAAAAAAUAUAUUCCUACUAUUAUACGAAAGUUUAGAAUAUUUAGACAUAACUAACUUUACCAAUAUAAAUGACAAGAACUGUAUUUUUGAAUUGAUAAAAUUUUUUAUUGAAUUAAUAAAGAAACCAUUAUUGCACUCAGUACAUAUACUAUGUAUAAACUAUUUAAUACAAAUAAUAAAAAAAUGUUAUGAUUAUAGACUUUGUUAUAAUAUUAAUGUAGAACUAUAUGAUAUAGGACCAUGUGUUAAUAUUUUUGUUAAAGUUGUUAACUUGAUUUUUGCUAAGCUUUUAUGCGUUUUCAAAGAUAUAAAAAAUGAAGAACAUAUUUAUUCUAUUGAUGAAAUAAAUAAUAUUAACAAUUUAGUCAUGUUAUUUUUUGUAAAUGUCAUAAACAACUUUGUUCGUAUACUUAUACCUCAAGUGCUUUUUAACGAAAAACUGAAACAUGACUAUUUAACUUGCAACGAAAUGGAAAAUACAAAAAAAAUAAAAAAUAAGUACGAGGAAAUAUCUUUUGAAGAUAAAAUUGUCCUAAACACAUGUAAUCCCAUAUUUUCGUUUAUAGAAAUAUUAAUUAUCAACAACCAUGAAAGAUACGAAAAGGCUUUUUAUGUCGACUUAAUAAAAACAUUGAUCAACGAAUGUAGAAAAAUAGAAAGACAGUACAAUAUUAUGAAAAUAAUACAUGAUGAAUAUAUAUUAUUUAUUAAAGGAGAUGAUUAUAAAAAAAAACAAAACUUAUAUAUUGAUAGAAAUUAUUUGAAAAUAAAAAAAUUGAGUAAACAAAGAUUGGAAUCAACGGCAUCAUUUCAUGUGUCAGAUGAGUAUAGUUCUUCUGCUUAUUCAGAGACUGAAGAAGAGGAAGAGGAAGAGGAAGAGGAAGAGGAAGAGGAAGAGGAAGAGGAAGAGAAAGAGGAAGAGGAAGAGAAAGAGGAAGAGAAAGAAGAAGAAGCAAAAGAGGAGGAGAAGGAGGAGGAAAAGGAAAGGGGAAAAGAGACAAAAGAUGCAAAAGAUGCAAAAGAUAGAAAAGAAAAAAAUGAAAAGGGAGAAGAGACAAAAGAUGCAAAAGAUAGAAAAGAAAAAAAUGAAAAGGGAGAAGAGACAAAAGAUGCAGGUGAAGGUAAAGAUGGUCAUAAAAACAACGACAGCGCUAAGGCAAAUAAUGAAGAAACGAAUAAUGAGCAGUCUAGUGGCACCGCUCCAAACAUACAGGAGGAUGAUAUAGAUGGAUCUAAAAAAAAAGAAAAGAAAAACAAACUUAUAACUAAUAUAGACCAAAUAAGAAAUAAAAGAAGAUCAAUAUUAUUAGUCGAUCAUAAAAAAUAUUCUCUUAUUUACCAAUCUGUUAUAGUUAGAUAUUUAAAUUUUUUAUUGAAAUAUAUAAAUUGUGAAAAAUAUCAAAUUCGUAUAAUGAUAUUGGAUUUAUUUUUAGAAUUAAUAAAAAAAAAAAAAAACAAAUAAAAAUGAAUUUCUUUUUCAAAAUUUAUUUAAAUUAUUUUUAGAACGAUUAGAGGAUCCUAAUAUGAUUGUUAAAGCAAAAGCUUUAUCUAUUUUGGUUACAUUAACAAAUCGUAAAUACCUUGAUAAUAAUCUUAUAUAUAAUUUUAUAUUUAACAAAACCAUACAAAAAAUAAAUAUGUAUAAAAUAAUAGUAACA
rnacentral:lncRNA from 1 species